GACGAACGCUGGCGGCGUGCUUAACACAUGCAAGUCGAGCGGAAAGGCCACUUCGUUGGUACUCUAGCGGCGAACGGGUGCGUAACACUUGAGUAAUCUGCCCCUCACUUUGGGAUAGCCACCGGUAACGGUGAUUAAUACCGGAUAUGACCAUAUUUCUCAUGGCGUGUGUUGGAAAGUUUUUCGGUGAUGGGCUUUCUCGCGUCGCAGCAGCUUGAUGGUGAGGUAACGGCGUACCAAGGCUUCGACGCGUAGCCGACCUGAGAGGGUGAUCGGUCACACGGGAACUGAGACACGGUCCAGACUCCUACGGGAGGAAGCAGUAGGGAAUCUUCCGCAAUGGGCGAAAGCCUGACGGAGCAACGCCGCGUGAGUGAUGAAGGUCUUCGGAUCGUAAAACUCUGUUAUGAGGGAAGAACAAAUGUGUAAGUAACUAUGCACGUCUUGACGGUACCUAAUCAGAAAGCCACGGCUAACUACGUG
rnacentral:rRNA from 1 species